rnacentral:rRNA from 1 species
UACGUAGGUGACAAGCGUUGUCCGGAUUUACUGGGCGUAAAGAGCGCGCAGGCGGUCGAUCAAGUCGAGUGUGAAAGCCCCCGGCUCAACUGGGGAGGGUCACGCGAUACUGAUCGACUCGAAGGCAGGAGAGGGUAGUGGAAUUCCCGGUGUAGUGGUGAAAUGCGUAGAUAUCGGGAGGAACACCAGUGGCGAAGGCGACUACCUGGCCUGUUUCUUGACGCUGAGGCGCGAAAGCUAGGGGAGCAAACGGG